CAAAUAUGGAAAGUACUUCAAUAUAAAUCGUUCAACAUUUGCUUGGUUUGUAUAAUAAGUGAAAGUCACAAGAGGUAAAAGGAGUGUAUAUUUAAAUAAUAUACGCUUACUGAAACGAAAGAAGUGGAUAAAAAUUUUGCAGUAGAAGAGAGAUAUACAAAAGAAAGAAGAAAGAUAGAAAAGAAAGAAAAUAGAGAAACUGCAGGAAGAGGAUUCUGUAUGUACAUCUUUUGUAUAACAAACACAGAAUUUUGAAGAAAUAAAUGUAUAAGGAGAUCAUUAAAAAUUAAUAGAACUAUAAAGAAAAAAUGGGAGGAUGUGCGAAAUGCAUGCUCUGCUUCCUUAAAUGUAUAGCAGUUAUUCUUUUGAUACCGGUAUUCCUAGUACUAGCUGUUGCUGCCGUUGUCGUUUGGAUUGUCACUGCGCCGCUAAAGUGCUGUUGCCCUUGUUGCGCCCCCUGCCUUACGCUCAUAACAGAAUUUCUUAUCUUUAUUGCUAAGCUACCAUGGAAAAUGUUGCAAUGGAUUAUUGGCAAAGAGGAAAAAUCUGAAGAUACAACUGGACUUGAUGAGAAAAAGAAAAAAGAUUAUGGUACAAAAGAAGAGACUGAUGUUGAAGCUUCGGAACCAUAAUAUUUACAUUAUAUUUAUUAUUAAUAGAAAAAAGUGACAUAUGUCACGUGUCCUUGUCUCUUGGUUAUUAUUUCAAUUUAAACCGAAAGUAAUAACAGGAAAGAGUUAUUACUCGUUUAAUAUUUUCUGGCAGUCUCUUUUUUUUGUCUCUUUCUUUUUAUCUAUCUCCCACAUGGACGAAAUUUAGUAGUACCCCUUUUUUAAACUUCAAUACAGAUUCGGUGGAAGGUGAUCAAUCGUAAUACAAUAAUAUUUAAGAUUUUUGAACCCUUAUUUUAAAAUUGAAAUCGUAGAGAAAGCGCAAGCGUGAUUGAUUGACUUUGGAGAGGUAAACAUAUGGUACAAACUAUUCAACAUCAAAAGGCAAAAAUCUGGUUCAAUAUACUUUUUUAAUACAUAAUAAGAGAUAUUUCAAAAAUUAGUCUAAGAGUCAAACGUAGAUGUCAUUUAACUGACCAUAGGUCACUAGAAUGUCAUUAAAGUGAUUUACAACGGCAAUAUUUAUGAUGAUGAAAAUUUAUGAAUGUCAAAUAUAAGUUAGAUCGUACAAAAUAUCAGACAAAAAAAAGCACUUAAUUUAAG
rnacentral:misc_RNA from 1 species